CAGAAGAUAGUUUAAUUAAGAAUACCAGCUUUGGGAGUUGGAGGUGGGGGUUCAAAUCCCUCUUUUCUGA
rnacentral:tRNA from 1 species